rnacentral:rRNA from 1 species
AUUGAACGCUGGCGGCAGGCUUAACACAUGCAAGUCGAACGAGUGGCGGACGGGUGAGUAAUGCUUGGGCAUCUAGCUUAUGGAGGGGGAUAACUACGGGAAAAGGUAGCUAAUACCGCGUACCAUAGGAUGAGCCCAAGUGGGAUUAGGUAGUUGGUGAGGUAAAGGCUCACCAAGCCGCCGAGCCAUAGCUGGUCUGAGCGGAUGACCAGCCACACUGGGACUGUGACACGGCCGAGACUCCGACGGGAGGCAGCAGUGGGGAAUAUUGCGCAUGGGGGGCAACCUGACGCAGCCAUGCCGCGUGAAUGAAGAAGGCCUUCGGGUUGUAAAGUUCUUUCGGUAGCGAGGCGUUAACUACAGAAGAAGCACCGGUUAACUCCGUGCCAGCAGCCGCGGUAAUC